GGGGCUGAACGGUUUCGACUUCGCGCAUCGAAUCAAGGGAAGCGUGCCGGUGCAGGCAAGAGACCACCGUAAGCGUCGUUGUAACCAAUUAAGCGCCGAUUCUCAUCAGCGCGACUACGCCCUCGCUGCCUAAGUAGCGACCGCGUGUCUGUCAGACCGGGAGCGCCCUCGGCCCGGACCCUGGCAUCGACUAGAGGGAACCACCCACGGGUUCGGUCGCGGAACCUGUGGGGACAUCAAACAGCGACUGGGAUCGUCAUCUCGGCUUGUUCGCGUGACCGGGAGAUCCAAGUAGAGGCAUAGCGAACUGCGCACGGAGAAGUCUUGAGGGAAUGCCGUAGGACCCGGGUUCAAUUCCCGGCAGCUCCACAA
rnacentral:tmRNA from 1 species